AUUGAACGCUGGCGGCAGGCCUAACACAUGCAAGUCGAACGAGUGGCGGACGGGUGAGUAAUGUCUGGGAAACUGCCUGAUGGAGGGGGAUAACUACUGGAAACGGUAGCUAAUACCGCAUACCAUCAGAUGUGCCCAGGUGGGAUUGGCUAGUGGGGGGGGUAACGGCUCACCAAGGCGACGAUCCCUAGCUGGUCUGCGAGGAUGACCAGCCACACAGGAACCAGGACACUGGCCGUACGCCUACGGGAGGCCGCAGUGGGGAAUGUUGCCCACUGGCAGCAAGCCCGAUGCAACCAUGCCGGGCGUAUAAAGAAGGCCUUGGGGUUGUAAAGUAAUUUCAGCGAUGGGGCGUUGCGCGCAGAAGAGGCACCGGCAAACUCCGUGCCAGCAGCCGCGGUAAUUC
rnacentral:rRNA from 1 species